rnacentral:rRNA from 1 species
AAGCCCUGGGCUCAACCUAGGAAUAGCAUUUCGAACUGACAAACUAGAGUCUUGUAGAGGGGGGUAGAAUUCNNGGNGUAGCGGUGAAAUGCGUAGAGAUCUGGAGGAAUACCGGUGGCGAAGGNGGCCCCCUGGACAAAGACUGACGCUCAUGCACGAANGCGUGGGGAGCAAACAGGAUUAGAUACCCUGGUAGUCCACGCCGUAAACGAUGUCUACUCGGAGUUUGGUGUCUUGAACACUGGGCUCUCAAGCUAACGCAUUAAGUAGACCGCCUGGGGAGUACGGCCGCAAGGUUAAAACUCAAAUGGAUUGACGGGGGCCCGCANAAGCGGUGGAGCAUGUGGUUUAAUUCGAUGCAACGCGAAGAACCUUACCUACUCUUGACAUCCACGGAAUUCGCUAGAGAUAGCUUAGUGCCUUCGGGAACCGUGAGACAGGUGCUGCAUGGCUGUCGUCAGCUCGUGUUGUGAAAUGUUGGGUUAANUCCCGCAACGAGCGCAACCCCUAUCCUUAUUUGCCAGCACGUAAUGGUGGGAACUCUAGGGAGACUGCCGGUGAUAAACCGGAGGAAGGUGGGGACGACGUCNAGUCAUCAUGGCCCUUACNANUAGGGCUACACACGUGCUACAAUGGGCNAGUACAGAGGGUUGCAAAGCCUCGAGGNGGAGCUNAUCUCACAAAGCUCGUCGUANUCCCGGAUUGGANUCUGCAACUCNACUCCCNUGAA